CUUGAGAGUGGCGAACGGGUGAGUAAUAUAUCGGAACGUGCCCAAUCGUGGGGGAUAACGUAGAGAAAUUUACGCUAAUACCGCAUACGAUCUAAGGAUGAAAGCGGGGGAUUCGCAAGAACCUCGCGCGAUUGGAGCGGCUGAUAUCAGAUUAGCUUGUUGGUGAGGUAAAAGCUCACCAAGGCGACGAUCUGUAGCUGGUUUGAGAGAACGACCAGCCACACUGGGACUGAGACACGGCCCAGACUCCUACGGGAGGCAGCAGUGGGGAAUUUUGGACAAUGGGCGAAAGCCUGAUCCAGCAAUGCCGCGUGUGGGAAGAAGGCCUUCGGGUUGUAAACCACUUUUGUACGGAACGAAACGGUCUGCUUUAAUACAGUGGGCUAAUGACGGUACCGUAAGAAUAAGCACCGGCUAACUACGUGCCAGCAGCCGCGGUAAUACGUAGGGUGCGAGCGUUAAUCGGAAUUACUGGGCGUAAAGCGUGCGCAGGCGGUUAUAUAAGACAGUUGUGAAAUCCCCGGGCUCAACCUGGGAAUUGCAUCUGUGACUGUAUAGCUAGAGUACGGUAGAGGGGGAUGGAAUUCCGCGUGUAGCAGUGAAAUGCGUAGAUAUGCGGAGGAACACCGAUGGCGAAGGCAAUCCCCUGGACCUGU
rnacentral:rRNA from 1 species